rnacentral:misc_RNA from 1 species
AUUUUGAGUUACGUGAUGGACAAAUUAAGUGAAUUGCUUUUUGGAUAAACAUUAAGGUUAUUUUUAUCAAAUAAUAAAAAAUAAUAAUGUUGCAGUUCAUGAACAGUUCUAACUGUGGAAUUGAUAACAUAUAUUUUAUUAACUAUCUAUCAGUCAUCGGCUACUUAUCAGUCAUUACUUACACCAUUUUUAAUUUAUCAAACACAGUAUUUAGUUGUUUAGAUAUCUUUCA